rfam:Paraglaciecola psychrophila 170 chromosome, complete genome.
CCUACUGUCUCACCAGUAGUUCCCUUCUUCGCUGUGCGUUAACGGUAACGUUUAGGUGCAAAGCGCUGAGGACAAUGUAACCGCGGGGAACCGUAAAUACUGCCUGUUAAGGCAGGCUUGAAUCUGCUAGUCGAAAGCGGUGAUGGUG